GAUGAACGCUGGCGGCGUGCCUAAUACAUGCAAGUCGAACGAGGAACUUUAAUCUUCGGAUGAAAGUUUCCUAGUGGCGAACGGGUGAGUAACGCGUUGGUGACCUGCCCCAAAGGUGGGGGAUAACAGUUCGAAAGGACUGCUAAUACCGCAUAAGAUCAAUGGGAUUAGAUGCCUAUUGAUUAAAGGCGAAAGUCGCUUUGGGAGGGGCCUGCGUCCCAUCAGCUUGUUGGUAGGGUAAUAGCCUACCAAGGCUAAGACGGGUAGGGGACCUGAGAGGGUGGCCCCCCACACUGGCACUGAAACACGGGCCAGACACCUACGGGUGGCAGCAGUAGGGAAUAUUGGACAAUGGGCGAAAGCCUGAUCCAGCAACGCCGCGUGCGCGAUGAAGGCCUUCGGGUUGUAAAGCGCUUUUAGGGGAGAUGAGAAAGGACAGUAUCCUCUGAAUAAGCCUCGGCGAACUACGUG
rnacentral:rRNA from 1 species